rnacentral:pre_miRNA from 1 species
CCCUUAACUAUUAAAAGUUUCUUUUUGGUCCUUUAACUUACUUUUUAGUUUCGUUUUGGUCCCUUAACUCUUCCUCCGUCAACCACUUUGGUCCUUUAUGUUAGGAUGAAUGUAUUAGAGUUAAGGAACCAAAAUGAAACAAAAAAAAUAAGUUAAGGGACCAAAACGAAACCAAAAAAUAAGUUAAAGGACCAAAACGAAACUUUUAAUAGUUAAGGGA